AAACUAACCAGGAUUCCCCUAGUAACGGCGAGCGAACCGGGAGAAUAGAUUGAGCCCACUUUGUAAAUCUGAAAGAAUUUUAUUUUUUCCGAAUUGUAGUCUACACAGGUUGGUCUUUUUGGCAGAUGGAAUUGUCCAAGUGCCUUGGAAGAGGCCGCGCGACAGGGUGAGAGCCCCGUUGGACAGAUAUCCUUCAGUCAGAUGCACAGACGACCUUGUUCGAGUCGGGUUGUUUGGGAAUGCAGCCCUAAUGUGUCGGUGGUAAAUCCCAUCGAAGGCUAAAUACUGGCGGGAGACCGAUAGCGAACAAGUACCGUGAGGGAAAGAUGAAAAGAACUUUGAAAAGAGAGUCAAAAGUGCUUGAAAUUGUUGAGAGGGAAGCGAUUGUGUAGAGGUGAGUUUUGGGUGGUGCAGAGAUUUGGGGUUGGUUGCAGGAUUCAUUUCUGUGCCUCCCCAACCCUGCUGCACCCCCGGUCAGCAUCGGUUUCUGGAGGGGUAGAAACGCCAGGAUUACCUGGUUUGGAUUGAAGUUGAUUUUUCAGCUUCAGUCCAACGCCUGGCUCAUGCCUCUCUUUUUGAGACCGAGGAAUAUCUUGCACGGUGCCGCAGAAGAAUUUCAUUUCUUCCGCACCGGUUGAUGGAUGCUGGCUGACGCCGCUCAAUCGGC
rnacentral:rRNA from 1 species